rnacentral:lncRNA from 1 species
UCGGGUUGACUUUGAUGGUGAUUUUGUACAUAUAUAUUAUUUUUCAUUCACUUGAACUUUAAAAAGGAAGGUGGUGUCAUUCUAGGGUUAAUUAAAGUUCAUUUGGAAAGUUAUCCUAUUUCUGAAUUUUCUUGACAACCUAGAUGUACAUUUCCCAUGCUACCCUUCUUAUUCAAUAUUUAUUUUUAUUCCAUUUAUAUAGCCAUAACUUCAAAA